rfam:Vigna angularis cultivar Jingnong 6 chromosome 11, whole genome shotgun sequence.
AAGUCUGAGGAUGAUGAGAAAAAAUAACAUUCUUUUUUCGGAGUUUUCCAUUCGGAAUAUUUAUAUAUGGAGACCUGAACUGAAGACAC